CGGUGUGCUUAGCGGCCCAGCGCCGCUGCGGAUAACCGACAUGCGCGUUUCAGGUCGGCCUUGCCGAUGAACUGAGAGCUGCUGCUGAUCAGAAAGGAAAGCGUGAUUUCCUACAGAGACGUUUGGCUGGCAAGUGGACGAAUCCUUCUGUUUGUAGACAACUGCAUUUUCACUCCAGUACCCUGCCUAAAGAGAAGAACAAAAAGCCAACCCUGACCUUGGAACUGAGAAGUAGGCAGACAGAGAUGACAACAUCCACUGUACGGUCAGAACACUUCUGUGCCUCUCCCAUCUCCAUUUCUGCCUGGAGGCAGGAUCUGGUGGCCGCUGCCUCUUUCCACAUCGCUGCGUUUCUUCACGACUGAUUUCCCCUCGUGGCACAGUGACAGCAAAUAUACCAACUAGAUCCCUACAAACAAAAGUAGCAGCCAAUUUUCUGAAGUCAAAGACAACAGAAACAGAAAAAGAAACACUUUGAGUUGAAACAGUAAAGCAAGGGACAACAUUAAUGCAAAGAAAGACUUCAAAGCAGCAUACAAAUGGAUUACAUCAGAACCAUCUCCCACUAAUUAAACAGCCAUCAAAAGCAGCAGAACAGAGAUAUAGCAGCCAUGCAAGACUAGAAGGAUUCCAUGCCGGUGUUUGAGGUUCAAUAAUGAACAACAGAUACUACUGGUCUUUCUAUGUAACUGAGAGUAGUUACUUAGCCCUGCCUCGUUAAAACUAUUUGAGUGGAGCUUUCACAACAGCCAUCCAAAAUCUGCUUGCAAAUGACACCAAGCAAACUUAAAACUGCAGGACCUGAGCCAUAGAGCCAGACAAGGGAUCUCGACAAAGCACUGUCUCCACACUUCGUGCAGGUGAAAAGUUUUGCUCUGAAUGGACUGAAAGAAGAAAAGGAAGAACAGUGAGUUCCUGAAAGGCAGGGAAUGCUUUGUGUUGAAUGUACAAUUCCAAUUUCAAAACCAGAUAAUAAAACGAAGGAAAGCUCUAAGAGUCAUUGGUAGCUCUGUGGAACCACUAGAAUAUGAGCAUCAUCUCCCAAAAAACUCCAUAUGAAGAGAAAGGAUCUCUUGCAGACACAUUUAUACUAUCAUAAAGCUCUGCGAAAGUGCUUUGAUUGUUGCUUAUAGGACUUGAAAAAAGAAAACAUCAUUCUCAUCUUAGGGAAGACAAGGAGAAGGAUCCAGCUAUGGGCUGCUCAACCUCACCUUGAUCCUCAUAAGAUGAUGUAGAAGGUAAUCCCAGAAGUUGUUUUCAAAUAUGUAUAGGACAAGAAGGUCAUAAAGAGUACUCAGCAUGGGCUUAAGAUGGAUAAAUGGCACUUAAUCAACUUAAUAGUCUUUUGUAAUGAUGUGACCAGUUCAGUAGAUAAGAACAGUGGAUACCAUUUGUCUUGACUCUAGAAAGGCUUCUGACACUUUCUCCCAUAACAUCCCUAUAGACAAAAAUACAAAAAACCAGGUUACAUAGGUGAACUGAAAACUGGCUGAAUGUCUGAGCACAGAGCACUGUGUUCAGGUGACUGAAGGUUGCAGACCAGUGACCAGUAUACAUCCAGGAGCUAAGAGCCAAGCCAAUACUGUUUACCCCUUCAUUAAUGACCAAGGUGAUAAGAAAGUCAAUCUACACUAAGUUUGAUGAUGAUACAGGGGGAGGUUGUGCUGCUGUUCACAAGGACCUUGACAGGCUGAAAACAAAUGGGAUGAUGGGAACUUAAUGAAGUCUUACAAAGGAAAAUGCAAAGUCCUGCACGUGGGAGGAAAUAACCUCAUGCACUAGUACAGACUGAGGGUCACCCAGAUGGAAAGUAGCCUGCAAAAAUGGCCUCGAGGUCCCUGCAGGCAGCAGUUGAUCACCAGCUAGCAAGAAACCUUUAUGGAAAAGAUGCCAGCAGCAUCUUGAGCUGCAUUAUGAUAAGCAAGUCAAGGGAGGUGAUCCUUCCUCUCUACUCAGCACUGGUGAGAUACAUCUUGCUGGGUCCAGUCCUAGGCUGUCCCUUAGCAGAAAAAUAUGGACAUACUGAAGCAGCUCCAGGACAGGGCCAAAGAGAGGAUUAAGAGUCUGGAGCAUCUGUCAGAGGAGGUGAGGCUGAGAGAGCUGUAAUUGUUCAGCCUGCAUAGGCUCAGAGAAUUUAUCAACAUAUAUAAAUAUAAAAUGAGGAAGUAAAGGAGAUGCAUCAGACUCUUCUCAGAGUCUCUUUCUCAGAGAAAGGAGUAGAGGCAAUUAACACGAGCUAAAUAUAAGAAAUGCUAAACAUAAAAAUUAGUUUCAGUAGUAAGGUUGAUUGAACAUUGGAAAGGUGUUACCCAGAACAGGUUGUGAAGUAGCCAUCCUUGGAGAUUUUCAAAAUGCGACUGGACAGUCCUGACCAAUCCACUCCUCUUUCUUCACUACAUCAAGUAUUCUGCCCCUCUGUGACUGCCCUCUACACUUGUCCUGACACAACUUGUUAGUAUUCCUGAGUUUAUUUCUAAAACACUUCCUUCUUAACACAACAUACAUUUUGUUGAGAUAACAGCUGCCAGGAAGUGUGCUAAAAUAACUUUUAGUAGUCAACCACUUAUUAGCAGAAGUUUACUUCUCCUCCAUUCAGGUAUUCUUGGGUCACUUCAUCAAAUACCGUUCUACUGGUUCUACAGGAGUGGCAAGACAUGGGCAGCUACACCUGCCCUUAGAUAAUACUUCAACCAGCAUAUGCUCUGUGAAGGUUAGGAAUUGGAAUGACUGCGUGCCAGGUGCCCAUGGUAUUUUCAAAAAGAAUGCUCUAUGAGUUCCUUGUAAGCACACAGAGGUGGAUGAGCCACCAGCAGCUGGGCAAUGCAAAAGCAAAGUCAGUACAACUCAUUUUCUGCUUCCAACCUGAAGAGCUUGUUAGCCACUUCCAGCCAUACCUGUCCAACAAAAAAGUACUGCCUUCCUAUAACACAUGUGCAUCUUAAAAAAAAAAAAAGCAACAAAACUCAGUCUAGAAGAUUAAUGAAUUGUACACUGAAGUGGGAAAGAUGCAAGUUGUAAUUUCCUUUGUCAAACUAACAAGAGAAACGGCUUUCUUUAAGUACCAGAAAGACAAGGAAGGGAUCUCAAGAGGAGAUGCUCAUCUGAAGAAUGUAUCUGUCCAUAAGAGGGAUGCUCCUUAUUCAAGCCCCUUUCUCUUCAAGAGUUAAACAUGAAAAGAAGAGCUAAAAGGAGAACAGAACUUAACUAUUCCUGUAAGAAUCAGAACCAGAAUAUGUUUGUUAUAGACACCCACACAGAAUUAACAUUUAUUGAUGGUAACUGUUGUAAAUCAUUUGGGGAAAAAAAAAAAGCCCAAAUACCACGUUAAACUUGAGAGGUCUAAUUCUUACUCUUCCUAGCACAUGAAACAGUAAUUAUUGCUGCCCCACUCAGCUCAUGGAUUGAAUGGUACAUCAAAUAAAAGAAGUUAGAGUGCACUGCCCAAAGCCAAUGAGGAAUUAAUUUUAUCAGCAAUAAUUAAAAACCAGGAUGUCCUGUGAUGUUCUACCACUGUUUUGCAUCUAUCAGUAGACAACUGCUCUUCCUUUCAACAGCUAUCACUGGGAAAACUGAAACAUUUAAACAAGGUGUUUCCUAUUAGAUUGCAAAAUGAGGGAAAGAUGCUUUUGAUAAAUGACAUUUUAUACAACGGAGGUUAACAUUUUGAUGGAAAAUAUUAAGUCAUUUCCUUUUAACACGUGGCUAAAAUGACAGUCCUCUAGCUGAGACACUGGACAGCCUUUGCAGCCAAUGUGGGACUUUUUUUGGUUGAUAGUCUGAAACACAACACUAUUGCAAAUAAAAUCAGCCUUUAAAAUCUACUUACUACAACUCAGAGAGAAUCCAAAAAGAGCUACAUCAAAGAAUUUAGGUUAGUCCUGCCCUUGAACUUUUGAAGGAAUUCCACUAAGUAAAUCAACUUCCAUUUUACAAAGGCCAUACUCUUCAGCGUUCACUCUCAUGUAGUUCCUAAAUUCCAACAAUUUUUUUAGUUGCUCAUUUCUGUGUAUGUGUACCGUGACUUCCUUCCGUCAAUCCUUACUAGGGGAACAUUACCUUCAAUACAGUUAUCUGGAUGAAAAAAAUGAAAGAUCAGAGGUAAAAGUUCUAGAGGAAAAGGGACAGCACAACAUGUGUUAACAGUUCUCAGCCUAGAAAGGUUGCCAUAAGAACAAGCAAGCAGGCUGUCUAGAGAUAUGCAUUUGCCAUCUUCUUAAAGAAGAGAUUAAGCAAGACUUAAUUGUGAGGACAGGAAAAAAAGAGAUAGCACCUAGGAUUAAGGGAAUUUAAUUUUCUUUAUUGUUGCAAGGCUUUUGUCUCUUGCUUUCAUGUACAUUUGUUAUUAUUUUUAAUACAAACAGCUUAGCAAGUCCUAGAGGAAAAUGAAGAUCAUUUGAUUCUGCUAAAAAAUGGUAUUUUUACAGAGUUAAGGCUUUUAGCUCUUGAAAAAAAUAAAAAUAAAUUAAAAAAAGGAAAACAGCAGAAAAUGUAUAGUUUCAAGAAUCACAAAAUGUAACCUAUUUAUCUCUUAAAAGAAAAAUAAAAGUGAUGAUCUUUGUGAGAGCCAGCAUGGAGAUACGUUGUAAGACAACACUGAAAUGUUAUUAUCUCAUUUCAUGUUGACAACAGUCUUUCAUAAAUUAAUCUAAACCAAUGUGAAAACCAGAAUGGCAGUAUAAAAUGAAAUGUGUACUACAGAUAA